UGGCAGGACACUGCAAAGAGCAGAGAUUUCUGCUGCGUGGGGAGAUGCAGAGGCAGACACCAAGAGCUGUGCUGAGCCCAUCUCCACACUGUGCAGAUGGGAAACCCUCUGUGGUCUCUGUGCCAGGAGGGACUGGCCCUUCUGCUCCCCGUCUGCAGAGCAGCAGUGAUGAGAGCUGAAGGUGUCUAUAAAGCUGCAGCCAAGCGAGGUCCAGGGCACAGAACAGGACGUCGCACGUAUUUAAGGGACAACAGUGGCCAGGCUUGUCAGAUCCCUGCUGUUAUUUUUAUGUGUUCUUACAGAUUUUCUGGACACUGCUCCGCUUGUUGCAGCAUUUUGCAGCCUCCUGCAGGGAGGGCACAGGAGCCCUUCUAUUUGAUGUGCAUUAAUCCCUGCAUUUUGCCCCAUUUUUGCCAUCAGAUGGCCCUCAUACGAAGCCCCAUCCAACACAAAGCGGCACUCGGAGGGCACCUUCACCAGCGACUUCACUCGCUACCUGGACAAGAUGAAGGCCAAGGACUUUGUGCAUUGGCUCAUCAACACCAAACGAUACAGCUCCACCAAGAGGUACAUGAGGGAGGAGCCCCGCAGUGCCCCCUUCCUGACCAUGCUGCCAGCAGCGUACAAUUAAACAGCAACCCCAGGCUUUCCAGCGUGCACCCAUGGCUGUUGGACCCCUGCAUCACCAGCAGCAAUCAGACCCUCUGCAGAAGGACUGAUCCAUGAAACAGCUGCACGAACCCGCCUGGUGAUUCCCAAUCCCCCGCUGAAAUCAGCGCUGCAGCUCAGCAUCCCUGCCCAAUUCAUUUCCUCUCUACCCCAUUCCUUUUUUUUCCUGCUGUGCUGUCCUUCCUAAAUCUGGUUCUGGGAGCUCCGACCCACCCCAGCACCCCAUGGGGAUCCUGCAUGCUGCUGCCUGAGGACUGUGGGAGAACCAAGCUCUGACCAGGGGCUCAUUCACAUGCCCCGUUUUUCUCCAAAUUCCUUCAGUUUUAGGUAGAUGGUAACCAGGAUGCACUCUCCUGACCCCCCU
rnacentral:lncRNA from 1 species